GGAAGGAUCAUUAUAGAGUUCGUGCCCUCACGGGUAGACCUCCCACCCUUGAAUAACUUACCUUUGUUGCUUUGGCGGGCCGCCUCGGCUACCGGCUUCUGCUGGUAAGUGCCCGCCAAAGGACCCCUAAACUCUGAAAUCAGGUGUCGUCUGAGUACUAUAUAAUAGUUAAAACUUUCAACAACGGAUCUCUUGGUUCUGGCAUCGAUGAAGAACGCAGCGAAAUGCGAUAAGUAAUGUGAAUUGCAGAAUUCAGUGAAUCAUCGAAUCUUUGAACGCACAUUGCGCCCCUUGGUAUUCCGGGGGGCAUGCCUGUUCGAGCGUCAUAAUAACCCUCAAGCCUUGCUUGGUGUUGGGGCCUACCGCCCGGUAGCCCUUAAAAACAGUGGCGGUACCAUCUGGUCUUAAGCGUAGUGAUUUUUCUCGCUAUAAGAGCAGGUGGAUACUAGCCAACAACCCCCAAUUUUCUAUGGUUUGACCUCGGAUCAGGUAGGGAUACCCGCUGAACUUAAGCAUAUCAAUAAGCGGAGGAAAAGAAACCAACAGGGAUUGCCUCAGUAACGGCGAGUGAAGCGGCAACAGCUCAAAUUUGAAAUCUGGCUCUUUCGGGGUCCGAGUUGUAAUUUGUAGAAGAUGCUUUGGGUGUGGUACCGGUCUAAGUUCCUUGGAACAGGACGUCGCAGAGGGUGAGAAUCCCGUACGUGACUGGUGGCCUUCGCCCGUGUAAAGCUCUUUCGACGAGUCGAGUUGUUUGGGAAUGCAGCUCAAAAUGGGUGGUAUAUUUCAUCUAAAGCUAAAUAUUGGCCAGAGACCGAUAGCGCACAAGUAGAGUGAUCGAAAGAUGAAAAGCACUUUGGAAAGAGAGUUAAACAGUACGUGAAAUUGUUGAAAGGGAAGCGCUUGCAAUCAGACUUGCGCGUGGCCGAUCAUCCGGUGUUCUCACCGGUGCACUCGGUCGCGCUCAGGCCAGCAUCGGUUUCGGUGGUUGGAUAAAGGCCCUAGGAAUGUGGCUCCUCUCGGGGAGUGUUAUAGCCUAGGGUGCAAUGCAGCCUACCGGGACCGAGGACCGCGCUUCGGCUAGGAUGCUGGCGUAAUGGUUGUAAGCGGCCCGUCUUGAAACACGGACCAAGGAGUCUAACAUCUAUGCGAGUGUUUGGGUGUCAAACCCAUACGCGUAAUGAAAGUGAACGGAGGUAGGAACUCUUAAGAGUGCACUAUCGACCGAUCCUGAUGUCUUCGGAUGGAUUUGAGUAAGAGCAUAGCUGUUGGGACCCGAAAGAUGGUGAACUAUGCGUGAAUAGGGUGAAGCCAGAGGAAACUCUGGUGGAGGCUCGCAGCGGUUCUGACGUGCAAAUCGAUCGUCAAAUUUGCGCAUAGGGGCGAAAGACUAAUCGAACCAUUGGGGUACUAGGUGGUUGAGAGGCAACCUAAAGCGUCGUCUAGUUCUCUACAGAACGACACUAUCAAAUUGUUCGGGGACGUCCUGUUUUAAAUUCUAGACUACCGCAGCUCGUCGAAAGGCGGGUGCGCACCGGGUUAAUGUCCUUGGGUAUGGUAAUAACGUCUAGAUAGGGAUUAUCCGCAGCCAAGUCCUAAGGGUGUCUUUACCUAUGGAUGCAGUUCACAGACUAAAUGUUAGUGGGCAUAGCUUUGCUAUGCUUAAGUUAUAGUCGAUCCACCGGGAGACCGGGUUAGUGAUAUCUCCGGACACUUUUGUGACCGAGGAUAUGCUAUGAUGCCUACCUGUUAGGGAAUAACAGGUAAGCAAAGGGGGAAUCUAUUUUGAUUCCAGAUGCUAGUAGCUGGUUCCUGC
rnacentral:misc_RNA from 1 species